UACGUAGGUGGCAAGCGUUGUCCGGAAUCAUUGGGCGUAAAGAGCGUGUAGGCGGCCUGGUAAGUCCGCUGUGAAAGUCCAGGGCUCAACCCUGGAAUGCCGGUGGAAACUGUCAGGCUCGAGUCCGGAAGAGGCGAGUGGAAUUCCUGGUGUAGCGGUGAAAUGCGCAGAUAUCAGGAGGAACACCAAUGGCGAAGGCAGCUCGCUGGGACGGUACUGACGCUGAGACGCGAAAGCGUGGGGAGCAAACAGG
rnacentral:rRNA from 1 species